GCGGGAAGAGCUCAAAUUUGAAAUCUGGUGGCCUCAGGUCAUCCGAGUUGUAAUCUAUAGAAGUGUUUUCCGUGCUGGCUCAUGUACAAGUCCCUUGGAACAGGGCGUCAUAGAGGGUGAGAAUCCCGUCCUUGACAUGAACUACCAGUGCUCUGUGAUACAUUUUCAACGAGUCGAGUUGUUUGGGAAUGCAGCUCAAAAUGGGUGGUAAAUUCCAUCUAAAGCUAAAUAUUGGCGAGAGACCGAUAGCGAACAAGUACCGUGAGGGAAAGAUGAAAAGCACUUUGGAAAGAGAGUUAAACAGUAUGUGAAAUUGUUAAAAGGGAAACGAUUGAAGUCAGUCGUGCUCUUUGGAUUCAGCCGGUUCUGCCGGUGUACUUCCUUUGAGUGGGGUCAACAUCAGUUUUGAUCGCUGGAUAAAGGCUGGAGGAACGUAGUACCCUCGGGUAAACUUAUAGCCUCCUGUCACAUACAGUGGUUGGGACUGAGGAACGCAGCACGCCUUUAUGGCCGGGAUUCGUCCACGUACGUGCUUAGGAUGUUGACAUAAUGGCUUUAAACGACCCGUCUUGAA
rnacentral:rRNA from 1 species